rnacentral:rRNA from 1 species
UAGGGAAUCUUCCGCAAUGGGCGAAAGCCUGACGGAGCAACGCCGCGUGAGUGAUGAAGGUCGUCGGAUCGUAAAACUCUGUUCUUAGGGAAGAACAAAUGUGUAAGUAACUAUGCACGUCUUGACGGUACCUAAUCAGAAAGCCACGGCUAACUACGUGCCAGCAGCCGCGGUAAUACGUAGGUGGCAAGCGUUAUCCGGAAUUAUUGGGCGUAAAGCGCGCGUAGGCGGUUUUUUAAGUCUGAUGUGAAAGCCCACGGCUCAACCGUGGAGGGUCAUUGGAAACUGGAAAACUUGAGUGCAGAAGAGGAAAGUGGAAUUCCAUGUGUAGCGGUGAAAUGCGCAGAGAUAUGGAGGAACACCAGUGGCGAAGGCGACUUUCUGGUCUGUAACUGACGCUGAUGUGCGAAAGCGUGGGGAUCAAACAGG